rnacentral:rRNA from 1 species
UCUUGGUCAUUUAGAGGAAGUAAAAGUCGUAACAAGGUUUCCGUAGGUGAACCUGCGGAAGGAUCAUUAAUGAUUGGUGGCUGUUGCUGGCUAGUGUUUCUAGUAUGUGCACGCCACACCUUCAAUCCCACUUACACCUGUGCACCUUUUGUAGUAUUACUUGUGGAUAUCGAGAGAAAGUUUAGUCUUUCACUCUGUUGAAACCGGUUUACUACGUUUUUUUAUACACACACAAUAGUCAUUGAAUGUAUUUUUUAUUUCUUAUGAUAAAAACAACUUUCAACAACGGAUCUCUUGGCUCUCGCAUCGAUGAAGAACGUAGCGAAUUACGAUAUGUAAUGUGAAUUGCAGAAUUCAGUGAAUCAUCGAAUCUUUGAACGCACCUUGCGCUCUUUGGUAUUCCGAAGAGCAUGCCUGUUUGAGUGUCAUGAAUCUCUCAAAUACAAUAAUUUUUUUUGAUUGUUGUAUUUGGACUUGGAAGCUGUUGGCGCAAGUCGACUCUUCUCAAAUGUAUUAGCUGGGGUUUAUAUAGUUGGAUCCUUGGUGUGAUAAUUAUCUACGCCUUGAAGUCCCUGUAGACUCUGCUUCAAAUCGUCUCUUCAUGAGACAAUAUUUGAAUCAUCUGACCUCAAAUCAGGUAGGACUACCCGCUGAACUUAAGCAUAUCAAAUAAGCGGAGGGAA